ensembl:lncRNA
CAGCAAUGACGGACUGAAACUAUGCAUUAGGGAAAGGCACAGAACCACUGAAUGUUCUGUUUUGACAUACAAGAAGUCAGUUAGAACUGUACCAACAUUCUUCAGAAUAUCUCCUUUUAUGUUCCACAGAAGAAAGUGAUAUAGGUUUGAAGCAACAUAAAGGUGUAAAUGUGCCAAGUUGGAUACUACCAGGAUCUCAACAAGUAACAGCUUCCCUUUACAUGAAGCCUCUGCAGAGCAAGGACAGUAUGAGAAAGCAGCUCACAGCAGGAAGAGGAAGUGAGACGGAAGUAACCUGGACCAGCUGGGCCUUCGCAGCCGUCUAAACAGCAUGUGAUUCCUCACAAUAAUGAUCAAAGAACAUCAGGCCAGUCUCCUGCUGUCCAGAAUCAGGUGGUUUGUCUUCGUCCGACAUCUCAGGUGAGACCUGUCCACUAUGGCUGUGAAGUACCAGUGGUGUAGCUCUCAGCAUCACUGAUGCACACAAGCCCUCACAGCACGUCUGCAAAUCAUGUGAGGGACCCUAACCUACCCUACUCAACUGUUUAAAACAACCGCAUGUCAACCAGCCACUCAAAGCAUCCUAACAACCACAUAACGACAUGUGAAAAAACAUACAGAAGAGUCCAGCGACUGCAAUCCAACAGGCUAACAACUGCACAGAAAACUUUAGCAAAUGCAUGUCAAUGCACAAGAAACCAAUAGAAUAGAAUGUUGAGGCUCAUUUAAAUGUAAACAACAAUUGAUAUCAGCAGUAAGUCAAUUAGAUCAGCAUGAGCUAUAUGUUACAUGUAAUAAAAGCUUUUCUAUUACCAUUAGCAUCUUCAUUAAAUGUGUGUAUGUAUAAAUAUGUGUGUGUGUGUGUGUGUGUGUGUGUGUGUGUGUGUGUGUGUGUGUGUGUGUGUGUGUGUGUAGUGGUGUCUGUUAA